AAAAAGACAAACCCUAAAUUUUCGUGUCCAAUUUUGAUUGUCCGUCUUAUAUGAAAUUUUUUUAUAAUUCGUAUUUUCAUUGUUGUUAGAUGAUAAAACAUGAUUAAUAUUUUAUGCGUGACUCGUCUUUUUAAUUUUUUUAGAUAAGACCCAGGGUUUGUCAAACGUUAGACAUGGAAACCAGGGUUUGUCUUUUU
rnacentral:pre_miRNA from 1 species